GUCCCUUACUAUUUUCGGCAGCUUGCUUUUGAAAUCAGCAACCCUACUGAUAAAAUGAUCCAAUCAGUCCUUCCCAGUUGUCAAGACAACAGUUCAUAAUUGUACCAGCUCUUUUCAUUGCAGCUAGACAUUUCAUAAAUAGAUAAUUCUCUAAUUGAUCCAGCCAAUCCUACUUUGCAUACCCUGCCAAACUAGAUCAGCUUGGAAAAACAAAUGUCUUGAGUUGGAGCCCACACAAUUGUCUUCCUUGUUUGUGUUCAAAGACGUGUACCUGGUGGUCCAGAUGAGUAUCGUACUACCCGCCCCACAUAGCCUGAAAUUCUACUGGUGGAUGUAUGACACGUAGAGUUGUCCACAGAGGUAUUCCUGUUGAGGAAGAAGAUGGAGGGGGGCUGGAGCCUGGGAAGGCAAACUAUGACAACAAGAGCCACCAAGCGAAGGAAAGAGAAACAGUGACGGAGGCUAAGCAUGAAUUUCCAACAUAACCAUCAGUCUGACUUCGGCUU
rnacentral:lncRNA from 1 species